rnacentral:lncRNA from 1 species
AUGGGGGCUGUUGUGGUGGUUGCAGCAGCUGUUGUGGGGGCCUUUGUGGUAGUGGUGGCAGAUGUUGUGGGUUCUGUUGUGGCUGCCGUUGUUUUAGUUGCAGCAGCUGUUGUGGUGGUGGUGCGAGCUGCUGUGGGUGCUGUUGUGGUUUUUGCAGCAGCUGUUUUAGUAGUUGCUGCAGCUGUUGUGGUAGUUGAAGCAGCUUUUGUGGUGGUUUUAGUAGCUCUUGUGGUAGUUGCAGCAGCUGUUGUGGUGGUUGCUGGAGCUGUUGUGGUAGUUGCAGCAGCUGUUUUGGUAGUUUCUGAAGCUGUUGUGGGUGCUGUUGUGGUAGUGGUGGUAGUUGUUGUGGUAAUUGCUGCAGCUGUAAAGGGGGCUGUUGUGGUGCUUGCAAUAGCUGUUGUAGGGGCCUUUGUGGUAGUGGUGGCAGAUGUUGUGGGUUCUGUUGUGGCUUCCGUUGUUGUAGUUGCAGGAGCUGUUGUGGUAGUUGCUGAAGCUGUUGUGGGUGCUGUUGUGGUAGUGGUGGUAGUUGUUGUGGUAAUUGCUGCAGCUGUAAUGGGGGCUGUUGUGGUGGUUGCAGCAGCUGUUGUAGGGGCCUUUGUGGUAGUGGUGGCAGAUGUUGUGGGUUCUGUUGUGGCUUCCGUUGUUGUAGUUGCAGCAGCUGUUGUGGUAGUGGUGGGAGCUGCUGUGGGUGCUGUUGUGGUGGUUGCAGUGGCUGUUGUGGUAGUUGCUGCAGCUGAAGUGGUAGUUGAAGCAGCUGUUGUGGUGGUUGCAGCAGCUGUUGUGGUAGUUUCUGGAGCUGUUGUGGGUGCUGUUGUGGUAGUGGUGGUAGUUGUUGUGGUAAUUGCUGUAGCUGUAAUGGGGGCUGUUGUGGUGGUUGCAGCAGCUGUUGUGGGAGCUCUUGUGGUACUUGCAAUAGCUAUUGUGGUAGUUACAGCAGCUGUUGUGGUGGUUGCUGGAGCUGUUGUUGUGGUUGCAGCAGCUGUUGUGGUAGUUGGAGUAGCUUUUGUGGUAGUUGCAGCAGUUGUUGUGUUAGUUUCUGGAGCUGUUGUGGGUGCUGUUGUGGUAGUGGUGGGACCUGUUGUGGUAGUUGCAGCAGCUGUUGUGGUGGUUGCAGCAGCUGUUGUGGUAGUUUCUGGAGCUGUUGUGGUGGUUGCAGCAGCUGUUGUGGUUGCUGUUGUGGUAGUGGUGGGAGCUGUUGUGGUAGAUGUUGGAGCUGUUGUGGUGCUUGCAGCAGCUGUUAUGGGUGCUGCUGUGGUGGUUGGGGCAGCUUCUGUUGUGGUGGUUUGGGAACCUGUUGUGGGUGCUGUUGAGGUGGUUGCAGCAGCUGUUGUGGUAUUGGUGGGAGCUGUUGUGGGAGAUGUUGUGGUAGAUGCUGGAGCUGUAGUGGUGGUUGCUGGAGUUGUUGUGGUAGUUUCUGGAUUUGUUGUGGGUGCUGUUGUGGUAGUGGUGGUAGCUGUUGUGGUAAUUGCUGCAGCUGUUAUGGGGGCUGUUGUGAUGGUUGCAGCAGCUGUUGUGGGGGCCUUAGCGGUAGUGGCGGCAGAUAUUGUGGGUUCUUUUGUGGCUGCCGUUGUUGUAGUUGCAGCAGCUGUUGUGGUAGUGGUGGGAGCUGCUGUGGGUGCUGUUGUGGUGGUUGCAGCCGCUGUUGUGGUAGUUACUGGAGCUCUUGUGGGUGCUGUUGUGGUAGUGGUGGGACCUGUUGUGGUAAUGGUGGCAGCUGUUGUGGGUGCUGUUGUGGUGGUUGCAGCAGCUGUUGUGGUAGUUUCUGGAGCUGUUGUGGGUGCUGUUGUGGUAGUGGUGGGACCUGUUGUGGUAGAUGCUGGAGCUGUUGUGGUAGUUGCUGGAGCUGUUGUGGUGGUUGCAGCAGCUGUUGUGGUAGGUGCAGCCGCUGUUGUGGUGGUUGCUGGAGCUGUUGUUGUGGUUGCUGGAGCUGUUGUGGUAGUUGAUGCAGCUCUUGUGGUAGUUGCAGCAGCUGUUGGGGUGGUUGUAGCAGCUGUUGUGGUAGUUGCAGCAGCUGUUGUGGUGCUUGCUGGAGCUGUUGUGGUGGUUGCAGCAGCUGUUGUGCUAGUUUCUGGAGCUGUUGUGGGUGCUGUUGUGGUAGUGGUGGUAGCUGUUGUGGUAAUUGCUGCAGCUGUUAUUGGGGCUGUUGUGGUGGUUGCAGCAGCUGUUGUGGUAGUUUCUGGAGCUCUUGUAGGUGCUGUUGUGGUAGUGGUGGGAGCUGUUGUGGUAGAUGCUGGAGCUGUUGUGGUGGUUGCAGCAGCUGUUGUGGUAGUUUCUGGAGCUCUUGUGGGUGCUGUUGUAGUGGUUGCAGCAGCUGUUGUGGUAGUUGAUACAGCUGUUAUGGUAGUUGCAGCAGCUGUUGUGGUAGUUUCUGGAGCUGUUGUGGUAGUUGCUGGAGCUGUUGUGGUAGUUGCAGCAGCUGUUGUGGUGGUUGCUGGAGCUGUUGUAGUGGUUUCAGCAGCUGUUGUGGUGGUUGCAGCAGCGGUUGUGGUAGUUUCUGGAGCUGUUGUGGGUGCUGUUGUGGUAGUGGUGGGAGCUGUUGUGGGUGCUGUUUUGGUAGUGGUGGGAGCUGUUGUGGGAGCUGUUGUGGUAGAUGCUGGAGCUGUUGUGGUGGUUGCAGCAGCUGUUGUGGUAGUCUUUGGAGCUGUUGUGGGUGCUGUUGAGGUAGUGGUGGUAGCUGUUGAGGUAAUUGCUGCAGUUGUUAUGGGUGCUGUUGUGGUGGUUGCAACAGCAUCUGUUGUGGUGGUUUGGGAACCUGUUGUGGAAGUUGCAGCAGCUCUUGUGGUAGUGGUGGCAGAUGUUGUGCGUUCUGUUGUGGGUUCCGUUUUUGUAGUUGCAGGAGCUGUUGUGGUAGUUGCCGCAACUGUUGUGGUACUUGCAAUAGCAAUUGUAGUGGUUUCAGCAGCUGUUGUGGUAGUUGCAGCCGCUGUUGUGGUGGUUUCAGCAGAUGUUGUGGUAGUUUCUUGA